UCGGGCCUAACACAUGCAAGUCGUACGAGAGCUUUUAACUCUAGUGGCGGACGGGUGAGUAACACGUGAGAAUUUGCCUUUAGGAGGGGGACAACAAUUGGAAACGAAUGCUAAUACCCCAUAUGCUUUCGAGUGAAAUGGAUUUUAUCCGCCUAGAGAGAAGCUCGCGGCUGAUUAGCUUGUUGGUAAGGUAAGAGCUUACCAAGGCGACGAUCAGUAUCUGGUUUGAGAGGACGAUCAGACACACUGGAACUGAGACACGGUCCAGACUCCUACGGGAGGCAGCAGUGGGGAAUUUUCCUUAAGAGGCGAAAGCCUGACGGAGCAA
rnacentral:rRNA from 1 species